rnacentral:rRNA from 1 species
GAGUAGCGGCGAGCGAAACGGGAAGAGCCCAAACCAACAAGCUUGCUUGUUGGGGUUGUAGGACUCCAAUAUGGUAGACUGUUAGUAUAGUUGAAGGAUUUGGAAAAUUCCGCUAAAGAGGGUGAAAGCCCCGUAAACGAAAUGCUGACAACACCUAGGAGGAUCCUGAGUACGGCGGAACACGAGAAAUUCCGUCGGAAUCCGCGGGGACCA